rnacentral:rRNA from 1 species
GGAAGGUGGGGAUGACGUCAAGUCCUCAUGGCCCUUAUGGGUAGGGCUUCACACGUCAUACAAUGGUCGGUACAGAGGGUUGCCAACCCGCGAGGGGGAGCUAAUCCCACAAAGCCGAUCGUAGUCCGGAUCGCAGUCUGCAACUCGACUGCGUGAAGUCGGAAUCGCUAGUAAUCGUGGAUCAGCAUGUCACGGUGAAUACGUUCCCGGGUCUU